GGGGGGCACCAUAAAGCAUUUGUGCUUAGGGCACCCAAAUGGCUAGCAACGGCCCUGGAAGUCAAAACUCGAGCUGUCGAGAGAUGAGGAGGAGGAGGGGCCAGACAGGAGAGCAAGAAGGUGAAAGUUCAAAGGAGGACAUGCCGGCUUUGAGGAGCCUGAGUACGGGCAAAGUGACGAUGCCCAAAGUCCAUCUUGGAUAAGAAGCAUUACCUGAUAUGUCUUCCUCUGAGCUUUCAACUUCCUGCUCUGAUGUCUGGCCUUCCUCCACCUCAUCCCCCGACAGCAAUAAGACUGACUCCCCUUCCACGGUUUGAAGUAAAAUCCCUCCUGCCUCAUCCUGCCUCCUGCUUCCUGAAGUACGGCUCAAAAUCUGAAAAUGUAAGGCGACUCCUUUCCUUUCCUGCCCGCCCUCCUGAUGAGGCACACCUGGCAACUCUUGGUUAACUAACUCACCUGUGGCUCAUGCUGUAAUUGACAGCUGCUUUGAAGGAUGAAACUUUCCCUCUGUUGUUGGCAGAUCAUUGUGUCAGCAAGUGACUGUUUCCAGAAGGGACUGCUUCCAGGCUGGAGUGGAAUUACUAGUUCUGGGGAAAUCGAAGCUUUGUGAAACACUCAAACCUUUGAAGCAUUUGUGCCACAACUGUAUCAAGGCUUCAAAACCAUCUGAAACCCAUCUCCACAGUGACAUCUGCUGGCUAGUUUGGCUAUCACUACAUCUUGAUAAUGCUUUCUGUGAAACAGUGAUGCAGACAAUAAUUGUGAUCACAUGUUACAACCAAGGAAAGGAAAAUAAUGAGACUGUUAACUGUAAUGAUAACUGUGCUAUCAUCUAGUGUUGCUCACAAUAAAUCAAUGUAUGAAGUAAACUGUCCAGAGAAAAAAAACUGCUGUGUUUACUUUACUAACCACACAGCUGUGUUUGGCCUAAGUCAGCUUCGUUUUUCGAUCACAGCACUGAAACUUUGGAUGCUGGACUUACAUUUUCUGGGAGUUUGUGUCAUCAGGUUUGUUCUACACACUGUCAAGCAAAGCUAGAAGCUGGCAUAGCUUUAGGUUUGAUUUGUAAUCAGCCUAAAAACCAUGAAGAAACUUUCCUGAACUUGACACUGGUGUAACACUUGCAUGAUGUUUUACUGUGAGUCUGGAGUUUUGGUCAUAGUGAA